AUCUGCCGCAAAUCAGCCACGAUGCAUUGCAACGGGCACGUUCAGUGGGCUGCGCGGCCGUUGCGACGAGCUGCAUUGCUGAUUCUUCGCUUGCCUGAGACUCGCAAUUGUCGAGCGGGUUGCAUCCGUUGUUACGUUGCCCGAAGACCGCAGUAAAUGUGAUUUGCAGGGUGCAAGCAACGUGUCAUUGUGGUUAGAAAAAAUGAAUCAGUAUACAUGUGAUUUAACUGUCAAAGCCGGAAUUUUUAAAGCAUACAUCCCGCCCAAGGCAUGCUGGGAUGAUCUCCUAUCAGGCAGCUUGGAAACUUCCAGACGCCGAUAUGCCUUACGUUCGGUGCAGCCGAGGUUAUGAACUGUCAAGUGGAAUAUGCCCCUUGAGGAAAACAAUUAGGAUCGACUGUCCAGCGAGGAGAUUGCGGAAUCAGCAACUGACAUAUUGACUGAUGAAACAUGAUGGUGCGUGCAGCAAGAGAGGGUUUGACUGCAGAUCCUGACCACCUGCUCCUGUAAAUUUGUACCAACCACAGG